rnacentral:rRNA from 1 species
AAGUCGAGCGGAAACGAUGGAAGCUUGCUUCCAGGCGUCGAGCGGCGGACGGGUGAGUAAUGCAUAGGAAUCUGCCCGAUAGUGGGGGAUAACCUGGGGAAACCCAGGCUAAUACCGCAUACGUCCUACGGGAGAAAGCAGGGGAUCUUCGGACCUUGCGCUAUCGGAUGAGCCUAUGUCGGAUUAGCUAGUUGGUGAGGUAAUGGCUCACCAAGGCCGCGAUCCGUAGCUGGUCUGAGAGGAUGAUCAGCCACAUCGGGACUGAGACACGGCCCGAACUCCUACGGGAGGCAGCAGUGGGGAAUAUUGGACAAUGGGCGAAAGCCUGAUCCAGCCAUGCCGCGUGUGUGAAGAAGGCUUUCGGGUUGUAAAGCACUUUCAGUGGGGAAGAAAUCCUCGGGGCCAAUACCCUCGAGGGAGGACAUCACCCACAGAAGAAGCACCGGCUAACUCCGUGCCAGCAGCCGCGGUAAUACGGAGGGUGCGAGCGUUAAUCGGAAUUACUGGGCGUAAAGCGCGCGUAGGCGGCGUGAUAAGCCGGUUGUGAAAGCCCCGGGCUCAACCUGGGAACGGCAUCCGGAACUGUCAGGCUAGAGUGCAGGAGAGGAAGGUAGAAUUCCCGGUGUAGCGGUGAAAUGCGUAGAGAUCGGGAGGAAUACCAGUGGCGAAGGCGGCCUUCUGGACUGACACUGACGCUGAGGUGCGAAAGCGUGGGUAGCAAACAGGAUUAGAUACCCUGGUAGUCCACGCCGUAAACGAUGUCGACUAGCCGUUGGGGUCCUUGUGACCUUUGUGGCGCAGUUAACGCGAUAAGUCGACCGCCUGGGGAGUACGGCCGCAAGGUUAAAA